CUGUUAUUGCGUAUUACAAUCGUUGGAUGCAAAAAUGGCCCACCAUUUACCAUCUUGCACAAGCUUCUCUCGAGGAAGUAAAUGAGAUGUGGGCAGGUUUGGGCUACUACCGAAGAGCUCGUUUUCUCCUAGAGGUGCUUCCUCAUGACAAUUGACUUGUGUUUUCAUCUCCUUCUCCUGUUUAUCUUUUACUAGAUCCUACAAGUUACCCUAAUGGUCAAUUUGAGAUUGUUUUUGAAAUAGUUAAUUAUGGUGUUAAACCUUCUUCAUUAUGUAGUUUCUGUCUUCUUAGUAAAAGCAGCAAAAAGGCAAGGC
rnacentral:sRNA from 1 species